rnacentral:lncRNA from 10 species
GAGCCGCUCCGAGGGGCCCACCCGCGAGCAGCGGGGAAGGCGGGGACCCGGGCCCCGCGGGCCUGCAGCGCCCCCGCACCCGGUUCCACGCGCCCAGGGCCGCCCCCGCGGAGAGAGGGGGCGCGAGGGGCGCGCCUCUCGCUCGGACACCCUCUCCCAGCUCGCGCCCCAGGUAACUUAAACCCAAUUAUAAAUGGCUUUGGCUAUAAAGUGUUCUUGAAUGAAAACGUUUAGGAAGUAGGCCUGGAUUCAGAUGCUUCAGAGGCUCAAAGGUUUUCUAAUUGUUUAUGGAGAAGAUUGAUCUUCACAAGCUAGUUUUUUCAUAGGCAAAAGCAAAAGUCUCUUCCUGUGUUAUUAAGUGAAAAUGGCUGAUUAUAAAAAGGCCCUGGGUCAGGAGGUUGCCGAUUCCAGGAAGAAUCAGACCUUAUCCCUGCCCUUGAGUCUCAAGAAGAGGAAAGGAAAACAAAUAAGCAUAGUACAGUGUGAAAAGUGGGACUGUGGUCAAAUUUCAGUCUGCAAACUCAGAAUGGAUGAAAUAUGAAAGACUGACAACAUCAAGUUGUCAAGUAGGACAGGAUGUGGAACCACUGGAACUCAUACGUGACUGAUGGGAAUGCAAAAUGAUACCGAUCCCUUGGAAAACUCCUUGGCAACUUUAAUAAACAUAAAUCUACCCUAUGAUCCAGAAAUUCCACUCUGAGUCACGUCUCCAAGAGCAAUGAAAAUAUAUACCCACAAAAGACUGCACAUAAAUCAGAACAGCAUUGUUGAUAAUAGCCCAAACUGGAAACAACCUAAAUAUUCACCAAUAGAAGCCUGAAUAAAUUCAUACUGUGGGAUACUCUACAGCAAUGAGAUCAUGAAAGAUAGUGUGGCUUCCACUUUGGUCUCUUAUAUCACCUACUGGGGGAAGCCAGCUGCCAUGUUGUGAGGACACUCAAGAAGCUCUGUGGAGAGGCUCUUUUGAAGGAGAACCAAUGCCUCCCACCAACAGCCAGCAUCAACUUGGGACAUGUGAGUGAACCAAUUGGAAGUGGAUCCUCCAGCCAAGUCAAGCCUUCAGAUGACUGAAGCCCCAGCCUCAUGAGAGAUAGCAGGCUAAAACUGCCCAGCUAAGCUGCUCCUGAAAUCCUGACCCCCCAAAUUAUAAAAGACAAUAAAUUAUUAUUGUUGUUUUAAGCCACUACAUGUUGGGGUGAUUCAUUAUGCAGCAACAGAUAAUAAAUACAUCACCCUUGUAUUCAUUACUGACGUUUAUUGGGAGCAUAGUGUGUGAUUUUUCAUUUAACCCUUCCAGUAAUGCUGUGAGAUAGGUAAGUUUAUUAUCCCCAUUUUACAGACAAAGAAACUGAGGUUCAGAAUGAGUGAAGUCUCUUCCCUGCAGAGUCCCUGACCUUAAGGAUUUUAUGGUCAGAUCUGAGAGACAGAAGCUCAAAAACCUAUGACUCUAGGCAAAAUAUGGCCCUGGGAUCCCAGGAUGGGGAGAGGAAUUUUGGAUUCUGGCUUCUACUUGGGCCUCAUAGCUUGGGAUGACAGAGGGUACACUCCAAAGGCAACAAACACCUUCCCUGCCCUUGAGCACCUGCUUAAUCAAGGGGAGAAAGUUCAGAUGCUUAUGCAUAAUGUGUGGUAUUUCUCUGCACAGAAACACACACGGGCCUGUACAGUAAUAAUGAAAAGCAACAACCCAUCUUAAGGGCUUGGCACUUUGCACUUACAAAGCCUUAUACAUCCCUAAUUCCAUGGAAUCACACCUGGCAGGUAAGCGUGGCCCUGUACACUUUACAGAUGGGGACACUGAGGUCAGGGAAGUUGUGUGAUUCUUGCAGAGCCAAGCAGCCUAGAAGUGGCAGAGUUCAGGUAAAACCCAGUAACUGGGUGUUUUACAAGUGCUAAGGGUAUGACAGGAGGUAGGCAGGGCUCCUCUGAGGGAGGUUUCAGGAAGAGGUCACCCGCGAGCAGGGUUCUGAGAAUGGGGAAGUGGCUUCGGGGAGAGGAUGGUGCCUGGGAGGGUUUGAGAGGAAACAGAGUGAGUCCCUAGGGGCUCCCAGGGUGUACGAGGGCAAAGAGGUGAACAUAGCUGGAGUGGAAAGAAUGAGAAAGCCUGGGUGUGUGGAAGAGCCUUGGUGUGUUAGGUGGAAUUGCAGCUGGAGGGUGUGUGCAGAAUGAGAGGUCUUGGUAUUGGGGCCAAAGUCAACUGCCACGCCUAAGGAGGGAGGAAGGCGCUUAUUUUGCUUCUUGGGUGAAAAUCAUUCCUGUGAUUUAGUUCUCCUUGGGGGAGGGGCGGGGUUUCAUCCAGCCUUAGCAAAUGCAUUCAAUCUUCACUACUUCUCUCUGUCAGAUGGGGUGGAUAGAGGUCCAAAUGUGGGCAGAAGCUUUUAUGUCCCAUCGCAGGGCAGCUAAGAACAGCUGCGCGGGUCGUUCACUGUACAUGGGCACUAGGCCAAAAGGGACUGAAAUCCGGACGGCCCUUUGUUUACUAAGCCAUGUGCCUGCAAGGCUGCACCUGCCCAGAAGGAAUGCUUCCUAUUUCUUUUCUUUAAAAAAAAAUUUUUUUUAUGAGCUAAAAUUCACAUAACAUAGAAUCUACCAUUUAAACCACUUUAAAGUAUAAAGUUCAGUGCUUUUAGUAUAGUCACAAUGUUGUGCAACCAUCACCACUAGCAGUUUUCGGAACAUUUCCAUCAUCCCAAAAAACAACUCCAUAACUCCUAAUUCCCCCCCUUUCCCCAUCUCUUGGCGACCAUGAAUCUGAACUUUCAUAUGAAUGGAGUUCUAUAAUUUGCUGUCUUCUGUGACUGUCUUCUUUCAUUUGGCAUUAAAACUUUUCAAGUUUUACCCAUGUUGUGGUAUGUGUCUGUACUUCAUUCCUUUUUAUGGCUCGAUAAUAUCGCAUUGUGUGAAUAUUCCACAAUUUGUGUAUCCCUUCAUGAGUUGAUGGACAUAUGGGUUAUAUCCACUGGCUGUUAAGAACAGGCGGGUCACGGUGGCUCACGCCUGAAAUCCCAGCACUUUGGGAGGCUGAGGUGGGCGGAUCACCUGAGGUCAGGAGUUCUAGAUCAGCUUUGCCAACACGGUGAAACCUUGUCUCUACCAAAUAUAUAAAAAUU